rnacentral:rRNA from 1 species
CCUACGGGAGGCAGCAGUCGAGAAUCAUUCACAAUGGGGGACACCCUGAUGGUGCGACGCCGCGUGGAGGAAUGAAGGUCUUCGGAUUGUAAACCCCUGUCAUGUGGGAGCAAAUUAAAAAGAUAGUACCACAAGAGGAAGAGACGGCUAACUCUGUGCCAGCAGCCGCGGUAAUACAGAAGUCUCAAGCGUUGUUCGGAAUCACUGGGCGUAAAGCGUGCGUAGGCUGUUUCGUAAGUCGUGUGUGAAAGGCGCGGGCUCAACCCGCGGACGGCACAUGAUACUGCGGGGCUAGAGUAAUGGAAGGGGAACCGGAAUUCGCGGUGUAGCAGUGAAAUGCGUAGAUAUGGAGAAGAGCACU